rnacentral:snoRNA from 1 species
UGGUAAUGUAUGCCCAAGGCUUGUUUCUCAAAACAUUUGCAGUUGCCGUCUAAGAGCCAAGCUUUAGCUAAUGUUGUUAGAUCCUUCCUUGGAUGUCUAGGGCA